GAUCUGGCUGACAAAGCAAAACCUGAAAACAUCGCUAAAAGGGAUGAUUACAGCCUUAUGGUUCCACUGGGGCUCGAACCCAGGACCUUCUGCGCGUAAAGCAGAUGUGCUAACCGCUACACUAUGGAACCGCGCGCUGCAAGGGCUCUCCAGGGUGAAAUAAGUGCACAUAAAGACCUUUCUCUUUCCAGUGUGGGAGGAGACUGAGAGUUGAUGCCCAGCGACCGCUUACGGAGAGGAACUAUCAGAAGGAUGUCGGGCCGCCAUGCGCAGCUCCCACCCACGCUUCUCCUCGGCUGCACGGGCUCCGCCACUUCUCCGAGAAGGAAGGCGCGGCCGGACCCGCGGCGGGUGUCCCGGGGCAGACGUUGCGCCUGCCUUGAUGUAAGCAGCGCGAAAGGGUCCAACUGCCUGGCUCUGUGGCGCAAUGGAUAGCGCAUUGGACUUCUAGACAGAUGGAGGCAUUCAAAGGUUGUGGGUUCGAGUCCCACCAGAGUCGCUUUUGUUUUGGGAAGUGAAGAAAAAACCCACCUUAACACCUUUAAAAUUCCCCAUCUCACUCGCGUACUAUGAAAAGGAAGGAAACUCAUUCCAACUCCCUGUGGUGUCUUCUCGUAUGAAGUUGUUGGGAGACCUGUCACCCGAGUCUUCCCAGUCGCCUUCAGGGGGCCCCAGGGUUUCCGGUGACUGGAGGCGGAGAAAUUGGCACGACCUGGUUUUGAGAGCUUUAUCUGUGCCAGCCACUGACCAGGCACCGGGGACACAUGGGAACUCUCUGCCUCCCAGCUGAAACAUUGGAGGAGGGAAGACUGACCCAAUUAGACAGGUGUUGAAGGAAAAAGUUUCGUUGUUACGCCCGAACAGGGACUUGAACCCUGGACCCUCAGAUUAAAAGUCUGAUGCUCUACCGACUGAGCUAUCCGGGCUCACGGGAAGUUCCUCCCUUCGGUGCAUGAAGACCCUGUUGUCGUUUGCGCUGCGAGCUAACAGCACCGCCCAGAAAGAGCUCCCGGAUUCGUCCUUUGCGUGUGACUAAUCCAAUUCCGGCCCACGGACCCCGCGAGGACGGGAGGUGGACCAAACCGAAAUCGAAGGUUUCCUUGGCGGAGAGAGAGCCCGGGAUGUCAGCAUCCCCAUCGAGCCCCGCGCGCCCCGCGCUCCGCGGCCCCGCGCGUGGCAGUUGCUUGGCCGUCAAGCCCCCUGCGGAGCCCGGGCGCGCCAGGGGCUCCCACCCGCGGGGAAAGGUUCUACCUCCAGCAGCUCCCGGAACGUCGUUGGAAACAGGAAAGAAGAGAGAGGGCUAGACUGAUCAAGCAAGCGAGAGUUGUGUAGUACGUGCGGAGAGCGUGGUCUCAGCCAGAUCCAAGGUCAGGGAAGGGACCCUGACUUUAAACUGAGCAGUUUAAAAGCAACGACAUAAAAAAAGGCCAGUCCCUCCGCGCCUACACCCCAAGCUCGUGUGCGUGGAGGAUGCCCCCCAGGGUGGCAGCCUGGGAUUCUUUCAUUUAUGCCCCCCAGGGUGGCAGCCUGGGAUUCUUUCAUUAGAAGACGUGUACUGCUCCCUGGAAAGGAGUUGCCACUGGCAGUGACCUCUAAAACCACUGCCGAAACCCGGGAUCGAACCAGGGACCUUUAGAUCUUCAGUCUAACGCUCUCCCAGCUGAGCUAUUUCAGCAGCUUGUAAAAGCUGUUUUCCGUAUUUCCAUAAUAAAAUAGUAUUUGUUCCGUUGUCACAGAAGAGGUCAGAAUAGAUUCAGCUGGAGUUGUUUGGACUCAAGAAACGUAUGGAACUGAACAGGACGGCCAUGUGUAAAAUGUGACUCUUCAGCGUCACCUCCAGAUGAGGUAUGCGUAGAGUCGCGGCAUCUGUAUGUUAAAAGCAUUGAUUUGCCAAACCUAAGUCGUG